GAGCAUCGGAUCACGACCGACAGAGCCCGGCUCCCCUCUGCGACCAAUCUGGCUGGCCACUAGAUUGAUCCAGACUUUGGACUGCUGAAUCUCUAAUUUGACAAUUUUGGCAUCCCAACAACUUCAGGGAUGGAAAGGAGGAAGACAUUCUGCUUCAAGGCUCCACCACAUUUAUUAAUAUGCAGCCAAGCUCAACUGAGGAUGAUAUUCUGGGAACUAGAGUGGCCCUGAACACCUGAGAUGAGACACUACCAAUCUGCCUUCUUUGUAUCAUUCAGUUAUUCAACAGCAGCACAAAGAUUCUGACUGUCAUCGGGGACAAAAAAAAUCCCAAUCAAAAGAUGAGCAUGGAGUGGACUGAAUGGCUGGGAGAAUUAAUACUGGGAGCUUUGCACCUCCUGACGAGAAUACUUUACAUUUACACUGUAUGUUUUCAAAUUACUUUACCUGCUAGGUAAAGCUUAA